AGUGAACGCUGGCGGUAGGCCUAACACAUGCAAGUCGAACGGCAGCACAGGAGAGCUUGCUCUCUGGGUGGCGAGUGGCGGACGGGUGAGGAAUACAUCGGAAUCUGCCCAGUCGUGGGGGAUAACGUAGGGAAACUUACGCUAAUACCGCAUACGACCUUCGGGUGAAAGAGGGGGAUCGCAAGACCUCUCGCGAUUGGAUGAGCCGAUGUCGGAUUAGCUAGUUGGCGGGGUAAUGGCCCACCAAGGCGACGAUCCGUAGCUGGUCUGAGAGGAUGAUCAGCCACACUGGAACUGAGACACGGUCCAGACUCCUACGGGAGGCAGCAGUGGGGAAUAUUGGACAAUGGGCGCAAGCCUGAUCCAGCCAUACCGCGUGGGUGAAGAAGGCCUUCGGGUUGUAAAGCCCUUUUGUUGGGUAAGAAAUCUUUCAGGCUAAUACCCUGGGAGGAUGACGGUACCCAAAGAAUAAGCACCGGCUAACUUCGUG
rnacentral:rRNA from 1 species